rnacentral:misc_RNA from 1 species
AAUGUUUCCUGUAGUGAUUUUGUUAUCAGAAAAAUGGAAUAAAUAGCAGGAAACAUUCGGAAGGCAUAACAUCAAGCCCCACAACAUCUAAACACUAUCAAAUGUGUCAUUCCUGUUUCCUCACCCUUGUCAUGGAUUAGUACACAUUAUCUGAUUGUAUUAAUAAAAAUGGCAAUGAAACCAGAAAUCGUAGGACAAUCAUCUUAAUAAAUCUAAUCCAAUAAUGCAUAUCAAGCAAGCAACAUUAAUGUAGAAAUUGACCAUUAAACUGCAAAAUUUAUCAUCCAGAGUAGCCAAAUAUAUA